GAUGAAGAACGUAGUAAAAUGCGAUAAGUAAUGUGAAUUGCAGAAUUCAGUGAAUCAUCGAAUCUUUGAACGCACCUUGCACCCUUUGGCAUUCCGAAGGGUAUGCUCGUUUGAGUGUCAUUGUACUCUCACACUCUCCGAUCCUAUGGAUUCGGGGAGCGGUGGACUUGGGUGUUGCUGCCUUUCCUUGUGGCUCACCUCAAAUGUGUCAGUGCACCUCUUGGUUGGACAUAGUACGGCGUGAUAAGUGUCUUCGCCGGCACCUCGCAAGAGGGUGGCCGAUCGGGAGCUCUGUGCUUUCAAACCGUCUUCGGACAAUUUCUGACAACUUGACCUCAAAUCGAGUAGGACUACCCGCUGAACUUAAGCAUAUCAAUAAGCGGAGGA
rnacentral:misc_RNA from 1 species